CGUCCGGCAAAUGGGCCGGCCCAUUUACUAGCUGAGUCCUCCUCUACUUCCCGAGCCCCGACGACGCCUUCGGCCUUCCCACUCGCCGCCGCGCCCGCAACCGGGGUUGGCGCCGCCGGCCACUCCUAAGCUCCCUCCAGUCUCAGAGUCCACUGACUCUGCUCAUCCCCUCACUGGAGUCGGCGCCUCCCUGGAACACUAGCUCCGCCAUGGCCCAUGCGUUCGCCGCCUCCCCCGAAACCCUAUCCCCCCCCAGCCGUGCCCGAGCUCUGGUGGCCGUGACGGCGUCGCGUGCGCCCGCGGCGGCUCUCUCGUCGCCGCCGCCGUCGCCGGGACCUAGGGUUCGGGCAUCCGUGCUUGAUGCCCCGCGUCUCGAGUUCCCCGUCCUUCAGCAGGACGCCGGAGCUGGCCGCCGUCGUCUCCGUCGUUCAAGCAGAUGCAUUAGAAGGCAUUAAUUCUGGAUUCGGAGAACCAUCCAAGUCAUGAUGGAGUUUAGGCAGCUUCUGGAGCUUAUUUCACAAGAUUACUUUGUAGAAAAGUUUCCUCCCAUAUCUACUGGUUUAUAAGUAGUAAUAGGAGGUUACAGGUCUUAAAAUAACAAUACAGUUAGUUGGAAUUUGACUCUACAUGCGCCAGCUAGAAUGGAAUAGGAUUAGCAAAUGAAGCAACUGCUCUCCUGUUAUGAUCAAGGCCGUGAGAGAUAUUUUCACGAGGAUAUCUUUCAUAUUCAACCAUCGUGUAAGUCCUGUCUUGCUUAAUGGACAUGAGGAUGUCUUGAUUUCUGGCUGUAUGGAAGCACAUCCACACAUGAAUGAAGUGGUUAGUCUUGGAUGCCAUUCAGUGAUGUAACUUUGUGAUCUGGUGUUAUCCUUCAUGUACCAAAGGUAACCAUCAUCUAUAUUGUUGGUCAUUGAUCAAGAAACAUUUAUUUGCAGAAGAAAAACUACCUAGCAUGCUUGAUCUAUGGUGGAGCACAGAUGAUCUAGAGCACUUAUAUGAAGCUAUAGAGGGAGACAUCAGUACAACUAUUGUUGAAUAGGAAUACGUUAGUACUGGACUGCAACCAAGCGUUUGGGAAUAUCCUACAGCAGAUACGAUCAGCCGUAGGGACAGAAUAUGGAGCCAAAAGUUGCCAAGGAAAAUCCACAUGUUCCUUUUGAGAUAAUGACACAACCUUUAGCCGGGAGGCAGCUGCCGUAGAUUUGAUGAGGAUGGCGGCCAUAUCUUCUUAAAAUGAAAAUAUGCUAAAACAGAGAAGCCAACCUGGAGCAUUCUCUGUGACAUCUCGGGUGUGCCAGUGCUUUCAAAUUUGGUGUUGCCGUAACAAUGUGAUUUUCAAACAUAAGCUGCAUGUUUCAACAAAGUUGUUGCAUUGCUUUUGCAGCAUAUAGACGCGGUAAUAGCGGCAAAAAGAAAGCUUCAGUGGAAGGCCUGUGGCUUCUCUCGAUGUGUUGGGUAGUAGUAUGGUCAGUCUUUAUGUUCUGUGAGUCUUUGUUGCGCCUACCUGCGUUGGAGAUGUAUAUGCUUGCUGAAAGUGGGCCUGUGAACGCUAUAUGUGUCCUGGCUGUUUGGUUGGUCUAACUUAAAUUUGCUGUAAAGCACAUGUGUGCUGAUCUCUGGACAUAAUCAUGAAGAUUCCCUGAAGAUCAACAUCGAUGACAUCUGAGACAAAUACAGGGGCUCACAUAAUCCAUGAGGAGACGAUCGCCUGCUUGAAUGCAAUUCAGUUUGCGGCUGAAGUUAGAAUGGGUCCCAUCAUUAUUGAGAAGGACGCCUCUAUACUUAUACCCCGCUCUCCAAGCCAACAAGCACGACACGUCACACCAUGGAGGCGAAGUUCUUCCUGUUCAAUAUAUUUAUUUUGUUUUUAAGAACCUACCGUGUAAGCGUGCAUGUAAUUUGGUGGCUCACGCUUUAACCCAUGGAGCUCACAUAUGGCUCCUAGUGGCCUUGGAUUGGCACACAUGAUCAUGUUUCUGACGUUGUAUUUGUUGUGGUGGCCAACGAUUUGAAGGCACCAGUAUGUGAGUAAAGCCCACUUGUUGGAAUA